rnacentral:lncRNA from 1 species
UUGUAUGGGGGAAAUUGAAAGGCAAGUGAAAAGCAUUGAGCUCAAAUGUUGAGAAAGAAAAAUGCAUGAGAAAAAGAAAAGAAAAGAAGAGAAGCAUGAAGAUAAGCUCAAUGUAAAAGAAAAGGGAAGAAGUUGGGAAAUAAGUGAGAUUGGUGAGGAAGAGAGUUGUGCUUAAAUUUUGAAUACUAUGAUAGCUCUCUUAACUCAGGGAUUUUGCAUUCCUGAAAAACCAAUUUUUCUUGUUAGCCCAACCUUAAUACAAGCCUUAGAAAAGUCCUUAUGAUGGCAUUUGCAUGUGACGAUUUUGAUUGUUUAAGAUGAAUGACAAUUUUGUUUCUUGUGACUUGUGAAUAAUAAACAGUUGGAGUGCCACCUUAAACACUUGAGUGAUUGAGUGAAACACUUGCUUGGUGAGAAUUGAUAAAUUUCAUGCUUACAUUUUUUCUUAGUGGAUUAGUCAUUCAUAAAGUGUAACAUCUAUUGAGAAAUAUGUGAUCAUGUGAACUGAACUGAAUUGAAAGCAUGCAUGCAUCUUGA